rnacentral:rRNA from 1 species
ACGGAGGGUGCGAGCGUUAAUCGGAAUCACUGGGCGUAAAGCGCACGUAGGCGGUGUCGUAAGUCGGAUGUGAAAGCCCUCGGCUCAACCGGGGAACUGCAUUCGAUACUGCGAUGCUUGAGUGCCGGAGAGGGUGGCGGAAUUCCAGGUGUAGCAGAGCAAGCCGUAGAGAUCUGGAGGAACACCAGUGGCGAUGGCGACCACCUGGCCGGCAACUGACGCUGUGGUGAGAAAGCGUGGGGAUCAAACAG